AUUGAACGCUGGCGGCAUGCUUUACACAUGCAAGUCGAACGGCAGCGCGGGCUUCGGCCUGGCGGCGAGUGGCGAACGGGUGAGUAAUGCACCGGAACGUGCCCAGUAGUGGGGGAUAGCCCGGCGAAAGCCGGAUUAAUACCGCAUACGACCUGAGGGUGAAAGCGGGGGACCGAAAGGCCUCGCGCUAUUGGAGCGGCCGAUGUCGGAUUAGCUAGUUGGUGGGGUAAAGGCUUACCAAGGCGACGAUCCGUAGCUGGUCUGAGAGGACGACCAGCCACACUGGGACUGAGACACGGCCCAGACUCCUACGGGAGGCAGCAGUGGGGAAUUUUGGACAAUGGGGCAACCCUGAUCCAGCCAUGCCGCGUGCGGGAAGAAGGCCUUCGGGUUGUAAACCGCUUUUGUUCGGGAAGAAAUCCUCUGGGCUAAUACCCCGGGGGGAUGACGGUACCGGAAGAAUAAGCACCGGCUAACUACGUG
rnacentral:rRNA from 1 species